CGAACGAAGCAUUUACACGGAUUUCCUUCGGGGAUGAAGGGUUUAUGACUGAGUGGCGGACGGGUGAGUAACGCGUGGGCAACCUGCCCCGUACCGGGGGACAACAGCCGGAAACGGCUGCUAAUACCGUAUACGUUUUAAGGACCGCAUGGUCCUUAAAACAAAACUCCGGUGGUACGGGAUGGGCCCGCGUCUGAUUAGCUCGUUGGCGGGGUAACGGCCCACCAAGGCGACGAUCAGUAGCCGGCCUGAGAGGGCGGCCGGCCACAUUGGGACUGAGACACGGCCCAGACUCCUGCGGGAGGCAGCAGUGGGGAAUAUUGCACAAUGGGGGAAACCCUGAUGCAGCGACGCCGCGUGAGCGAGGAAGUACCUCGGUAUGUAAAGCUCUGUCAGCAGGGAAGAAAAUGACAGUACCUGACCAAGAAGCCCCGGCUAACUACGUGCCAGCAGCCGCGGUAAUACGUAGGGGGCAAGCGUUAUCCGGAUUCACUGGGCGUAAAGGGAGCGCAGGCGGCACGGCAAGUCUGAUGUGAAAACCCGGGGCUCAACCCCGGGACUGCAUCCCAAACUGCCGGGCUGGAGUGUCGGAGGGGUAAGCGGAAUUCCUGGUGUAGCGGUGAAAUGCGUAGAUAUCAGGAGGAACACCGGUGGCGAAGGCGGCUUACUGGACGACAACUGAC
rnacentral:rRNA from 1 species